rnacentral:piRNA from 1 species
UAUCCACAAACACUAGAAGGUAUUUGUAAC